CAUUAACAAACCACAGAAUGAAUCACUAUAUGUUUACUAUUGGUGAUUAGGAUUUCCAUAUUGAAUUUAGUCUUAUGUUUAUAUCUGAAUGUAUUUUCUCCAAAAAACUAAAAUGAGUAUGAAAAUUCGUAUUUUGAUGAUUUAUAAAAUGUACAUUUCACCUGUUCUCUUUCUAUGGCCCUCCCCCAGCUUCUUCUUUAGACUGUACUCUGUCCAAUGUUUUAAUCAAUGGAAACCUCGGUUUAUUCAUCAGAUAUACUCAACAGAAAAAAGUUGGCCUAGAUACCAUAAGAACGAAAUGCACAAGCUAAUUUUUGAUAGGGUAAUCUGAAAACAGGAAAUUUGAAGUGAAAUAUUUAUUCAUGAAGAGGUUUUUUUCUUAAUUUUUAGAAAGAGAGAACCUGCUUGCAUUAUGCCGUGAAGAAAAAAUUUACCUUCUUUGAUUAUCUACUCAUUAUCCUCCUAAUGCCUGUCCUGCUCAUUGGAUAUUUCCUCAUGGUCUCCAAGACAAAGCAGAAUGAGACUCUUGUCCGAAUGCUCCUUGAUGCUGGCGUGGACAUUAAUGCUGCAGACUGUGUGAGCUUGAGGUUGUUUAUAUACGGCCACUAAACUCGCGGGAAUAACAUCUUUAUUGAAUACAGAACAUUAAAAAAAAAAACACUGCUCCACCAUUUGUGAGAAGUUAAGGAAGAUGAAGGCUCUGAUAACAAAAUUCUUCCUUGGUAGUUAAGGGGCUGGAGUCAGAAUGCCUUCGGGUAAACCCAGGCUUGCCACUUUUUACCUGUGUGCAUUUUGGCAAGUUAUAAACUUCCUCGUCUUUCUGUUUCCUACUCUGUAACAUGAGCAUAUUGAU